AUUGAACGCUGGCGGCAUGCUUUACACAUGCGAGUCGAACGGGCUUGGGGGCUUGCUCCCAAGUUAGUGGCGAACGGGUGAGUAAUACAUCGGAACGUACCGUGUAGUGGGGGAUAACGUAGCGAAAGUUACGCUAAUACCGCAUACGAUCUACGGAUGAAAGCAGGGGACCUUCGGGCCUUGUGCUAUACGAGCGGCCGAUGUCUGAUUAGCUAGUUGGUGAGGUAAAGGCUCACCAAGGCGACGAUCAGUAGCGGGUCUGAGAGGAUGAUCCGCCACACUGGGACUGAGACACGGCCCAGACUCCUACGGGAGGCAGCAGUGGGGAAUUUUGGACAAUGGGCGCAAGCCUGAUCCAGCCAUGCCGCGUGAGUGAAGAAGGCCUC
rnacentral:rRNA from 1 species